UACGUAGGGUGCAAGCGUUAAUCGGAAUUACUGGGCGUAAAGCGUGCGCAGGCGGUUGUGCAAGACAGCUGUGAAAUCCCCGGGCUUAACCUGGGAAUGGCAUUUGUGACUGCACGGCUAGAGUGUGUCAGAGGGGGGUAGAAUUCCACGUGUAGCAGUGAAAUGCGUAGAUAUGUGGAGGAAUACCGAUGGCGAAGGCAGCCCCCUGGGAUAACACUGACGCUCAUGCACGAAAGCGUGGGGAGCAAACAGG
rnacentral:rRNA from 1 species